rnacentral:lncRNA from 1 species
UAUAUUCUGUGUCAAAAAAAUAAAUAACUAAAAGUUGUUUUUUAAUGUGUGUAGGUAGGUUAUGGUCUCAUGUCCCUUUAAGACGCUGUCCUACGUCAGAGACGUGACUCCACCCCAUCCAGUCCGUAACAAAGAGGGAAAGACAGGUGAGGAGAUGGAGGACGGUUCAAAAGUUGUAGUGGCUGAAGUAGACGAAGUUAAUGUGGGAGGGGGUGAGCAGCUUGUGGAGUAGUUAUCGUCCAUUUAUCGUUAUCGACGUGAACUGAUCAAUAUACCGUGAUAUUGAUAUGAGGCCAUAUCGCCCAGCCCUAGUAGGAUGUUAGAAAUGAGAAGCGUGAGAAUUCAGAGGUUUGUCACUACUGACCUCGAUAUCAGCCAAAUAAAUACUUCAGUAAUGAGAAAUCUUUGGAAAAGUCCUCUUCUGCUCGUCUAAUUGCUUAAAAUAAAUGAUCUCAUGAACAUCUGUCUCUGUGAAACAUCUGCUGCUGUUUUUGAAAAGGGAAAAUACUAAAAACCAAUCCGGGCUAAUCACUUAAACUAAAUUUACUACGGGGAAAUUAUAAAAAGAAAGGAAAAAAGUUAUUUGAAGCCAUUUUUUAUGUGUCACACAACAAUCAGACGAGCCGUCACUGCUUAUAAAUUAUUCAUGCCAGAUGAGGAGCUUCAAAACGUCUUAUAACUUUCAGUGACAUCUGAAGUGUUAAUGUUCCGUCACACCUGGAUUGUUUUUCAAGAAGUUAUCUAAAACAGGAGGCGUUUCGCUCUCAGCUCGGGUUGUUUGGACAUACAUGAACGCAGCAGCAGCGUUCUGAUGCUGAACGAAAACCAGCGAAGGGGAAGUGAAGGGGAAGAAGUGGUCUCAAGUUGCUUCCAAUCAGAUCUUGGAGUGGUCUGCAUGCUAUCAAUCCAGUUCCUGCAACAAACAGGCCUGAAUUACCACUCCAGAGUCGAAGCAGGGGUGGACGACAACAGCAUGAUAUUGGUAUCUGCAGUUCCUAACUAAUAAGAAGUCCUCAUUGGUAGGAAAAUUUCUUCAGAUACAAUUAUUGGCCAAAAGGUAACACAUUAAUUAUGUGACACCCUUAAUGACGCCUGAGUUUGAUUAUUUAUCUAAUAAAUAAAAACUGGACCCUACAUUAAGUGGUCCUUUCCCACCGGUCCUGCAUGAGCGUUCAGCUCGCUUUUCAUACACCUGGCCUACAGAAUUAAGGAUGCAUGCACAAGAAUAACUAGAACAAUAAGUGUAAUAUAAAAACAAAGUUCUUGAGGCAGGCAGGGGAUGCUGGCCAAGACCAUGCCCCAAAAAGUCUGACUUCUUGCACAAUUUCAUUUCCCGUACAUUUAUCCAUGAGUCAAAAGAUAGUUGUUUGUUGAUACAGUUGUGUGUCUCACAACCACUGUGGUAUUAUUGCAGAAAAGCUGGAAGACCUGUUUAUAUUUGUCGCCACUUUAUUUACAUUGUCUGCCUCGUAAUUUAUUUUAAUUUAAUUUUGAUUAAUUUAUGUUUUCUUGUCUUCACAUUGUCAUGUUGAAAUAAAAGUACAUGAUUAAUGUUACUGGUUUGGGUUUAAUUCUUAAUGUACACAUAAUUUUUAAUAAUGUACCACAUUGGUAACCUUGUUAAAUUUACAGCAUUAUUUUAACAGGUAUCCAUGACUGAAUCGAUGUUGAAUCUGGACCUUAUAAUAUUGAAAUGAAUCGAUCUGGAAAAUCUGAAUCGAUACCCAGCCCUUGUGCUGUCUGUCAUAACGUACUCUUUCAUACCACCUACCAUGCCCACUGUCUUAUAUGCUAAAUAAGGGCAUCAAAAGCCUCUAAAAUCCAUUUCUAGAAAAUAAAAAAGGAGGGUUCAGUCGUGGAUUAUCUUUGACUUUUAACAUGAACUUCAGAAAAACUAGCUUACAUAAAUAUGCGCCAAAGUUAGGAUGAGCUGUCCUGUGAAAAAGUUUGGUCAACUAAAGUUCCUGAAAAAUACAAUCAUUGAAAAUCUGGGACUGUUUGUGUGAACAAUAACAAAAAUUACAGCAGCACUUCAACUUUUCUAAACAUGAGCUGCAGCUAAAGAUGUAACCGAGUGAAGGAUCAGCCCUCGAUCAGCUCUGGACUUGUGGAGUCAGACAGGCACUAGGACCUGCAGCUCUCUGCAGCCUGCACCGUCUGCAGCCUCUGGGACGCUUCUCACUUACUUUCUGAACAGUUUUCAAACAAGUGCAAGACUCUGAAAGGACUGUUUGGGAUAAUUUACAAAGAAUUUGUUUUCCUCUCCCUGGCAUCUUGUGGAUUUGGACGCAAAGUGGAAUAUUUAUCACUGAUCCUCGGGAGCCUUACGUCAGUGAAGAAGAAAAAAAAAAAGAAAGAGGGCUUGUGCAGAAGGUAGAGGACUGUUUUAACUUCACGAACACUGCAUGACUCUAACAAAACACACAGAGGAACUUUCUUUAAAUUACAUCAGCUGAUUGUCAGGUAGGACAAGUGUGUCAGAGGAAAUUUAUAAGUUGUUGCACGCACCAACUUUCAAAUUCAGCACACUGACAUUUUUAACACUCUCUGUUUCUUUACUUUCUUAAAGUUACCUGCUGCUUUUAUUACAACUUGUGUGGUUCUAUCACAGAUAAUUAGGGGUUUGGGUUUUAAGAUGAGCCACAGCAGUGAAGUGAUCAUCUCCACCUCCAUCCCCUCAGAAACUGUUGAAGCUUGGCCUCAGGGCUCAUCAGGUUACAAUAGCACCCAUCAGAACUGCACUCGUCUCCCUGGGCUAGCUUAUAUUCUCAAAGCAUUCCUGCAGAGGUUUUUCUUUUUUGUCUGUGUGUAUUUGUAUGGCAUGUUGAGUUGGCAACAAGAGGCUUGCUGCGGGGUAGUUCUCUCAAAUUAUGUGUGCCACAGAGUUAAAACAAAUUAUUGCGUUCUUGACAUAAUAGCAGGUGAUUAUAGUCGAGGAGACUGGCUGUGCUCUUUUGAUAAAAAGGUACUUUAUAUCUGUCAUUUCAGAGCGAGAACAUAAACAGAUAAACAGAACUCAAACAUCUAUCUGAUUCUUCUUUUUCAUUUAGGAGAACACAGUCCUGUUUGCAAAUUAUACUACAAUAGAAACAUUAUUAUAUAUAAGUAUUUAGGGGGGUAGGUCUGAGCCAAGUCGAUGUUGAAACAUAGCUCUCAUUGAUAAACUAAACCAUAUGGCUGUUAUCACCUGACAUGAAAAAUACUGCACUAUCAAUAGAAAGGCUUCUCUGCACUCGGACAAAAGAGGCCGGUUUACGAUGACAAAGGCGGUGAUGAAAACAGUGGGGGGUGGGCUAAAGGUAGGAUGUUGGUCUGCAGGGAUGCUUAAAUAAAGGCACUCCUGUAAAAAGGAGGGAGAAUAGAUUUAAAAUGGUGGUGUUAUAAUAUUUAAUAGUUAGAUGGUAGUAGUAUAAUAUUUAUCCAGUGUUCAGCUUUAAUUCGAGGACAGCUUUCUCUCUUCAGUGAGACGCAGACUGAGUCAUCUCUGAAGCAUUGUCGAACCAAUUGAUGCUGCCUUCAGAGGGAACUUGAGCGCACAGUUUGGCAGUUGUGGUUUAUAAGCUUCGACUCCUGGCAGCUAAAAAAAGUGAACCCUACAUGACUCCUCUCUGUAUAUUUUCUAAUUUUUAAUGGUUUUCUUUUGUUUGCGUUCAGUUGAAGGGAGAAUGUAACCCGACAAAGCCGCACUAAAUCAGCUGCUUUCUGAAAACUUUUCUGCAGACUCGUAAAUUGCUCAACUGUGUGUCAUCAGGACAGCCAGUAAACAUGACAAAUCUAAUGAAAUAAGAGGACAGCCUAAAAAGCCCAGAUUUUGUGAGGGUCUCGAUCAGAAACAUGAUAUCCAGAACACUAUGUCAAGUAUGCUGAGCAUGUGAAUUUUGGAAAUCUGAUUUUUUUUUCCAUCAGCUGUACGCUCGACUACAUGUUUGAUUUAUGCACCAGGGCUUCCCCCUGAGCCACACGUGUCUGCGCGCAUGAUUCUGUGUGUUUUGAGUGCAAUGUGUUGAAUAUUGGAAGAUAUAGAAAUUAAAGGGAUAGUCAGGGUUUUUUGAAGUGGGGUUGUAUGAGGUACUUGUCAACAGAAAUUGCAUAAACCACAGGGGAUUAUGGUCUGCUCCCUCUUUUUGGCCCCUUUGUUGAGAAACAGGGUGAGGGACAAAAACAGAAACGAGGCGUUCGCUGAAGAUGCAGUUAGCUCUAUCAUAUAAAUGAGCUGGGUUCAACAAACUCCAACUUUCAACAAAGUGUGGUUCUCUGUUUAAGUGAAUUAUCUGUCUGGAAAAUAUCAGCCCUUUAAUUAGCUGUCAGAAAACCGCUUGUUUUUACACUACAGAUUUGGUUUUUCUAUUUUCCUGAUUUCACUUCUGAAUAAUGAAGAAAGUGAAAAAGAUGCAAACUGGAGCAAUGUGAGCAAUGCAGACUGCAGCUGUAUGUGAGCCACUGGUAUCCUUCAAUCCAGACGAGUCCUGAACUAAUUUGCCUUCACAGUCAGCUUUGGAUGGUCCCAUUUCCAACAACCAAUAGUUUUUCAGGUGGAAGAACUUAUAUAUGCUUGAAUGGCUCAAAAUAAAUAUGCUUUUCUGGCAGCAACAUGUCUAAAUAGAGCCUCAUACAACCCCACUUUAAAAAGACUGAAAAAUAAUUUUGAGUUUAGCACAUCUGAAGCUCCUGGGCUGAGUUGCUGGUUAAGGUCAGAAGGUGUUUCUCUGUGGUUUGUCCUCAGUUGACAUUUCUCCCUGAAACUUCAUUUGUUUAAAAACUUAACCAUUCACUCUGUCCAGUGUCUCAAAAUGUGACCUGUGGUUUUAUUACCAGUCAUUGAAACAUCUUAAAAACACAGUAUACUGCCUGGGGGUGGCACAUUACAUCCAGUGUUUCGAUCUAAGUUGUAUACAUUUUCUUUCAUUUGCAUUGCCCUCUUCUCUUGACCUUAAACUUGCAUCCUAAAAGUCUUUUAAAGCUAUAAUACCUGCCUGAACCCCAUAAACAGUUAACUCAGAAAUGAAUCAUCACUGCCUCAGAAAAACGUAACUGAAACAGGAGAAUAUUUAGGGCAUGGUACAAACAGAGAAAUCUGAAAAUCUUAAGUUCUUCCACAAGUAAAGACUGUCUGCUAACUGCUGAUCAACCCUUUCGUCUUACGUCAUUAUUUGAAACCUUCUUUAUUGUUUUCCAGCUAUAAAUGAAAAACACACAUAAUCAAUUCAUGCAGCAAACCAUACGUGACUAAACAAUAGUUAUCAGCUGGGCCAAAUAUUGUAGCCAUCUUUUCAAAUGUGCAACGAGUUAUACAGUUGGCAUCUGCAUAAAUUUGACUUCUUUGUUUGUUUCAUGUUUCAAAUAUCCUUACGAUCUGAACGUAGAGAGUCUUCCAGUGGAAAUUUGUGCCUGACUGCCAGCUCCCGGCUAACCCAAACCUGACACUCCUUCAUGGCUCCAAUCGAACAUUUUUCUCAUUUUUGUGAAUGGAUGUUUUGAUUUGAUGUGAGACCUUUUCUUCUUGUGCUUAGGUUUAAGAGUUUUCUUCUGUCCAUCAUUUUCAGUCCCUUUUGGUUUUUGCAGAGAGAAAAAUGCACAUCAGAUGGGCUUUUCCUACACCCUAACAUUCCUCAUCGCUGAACAAUCUGUUCCACAGGUGGCAGAAGAAAAAUCUGGCAGACCCAGAUUAUCAUACAGGUUGCAGAUGCUCUAUGGUCCAUCUAAGUAGAAGCAGAGUGGGAAGGCUUCUGCAUGCCUACAUCCAUCAUUGACACCUCUCUCUCUCUCUUUCUCAACUAGCAGGUGAUGAAAGGUGUCCACUGUCUCCAGACUGUCUCCAGACUUCAUGUGAUAGACACUAAACGACUGCUAUUCUUCCCAUUUUACAGACACCUGAUUGUUUAUCUCCAUCUCUGCUGAAGAUGUAAUAUUAUCUGAACCUACCAUGUACGAUUUAAAAGUGAACGACUAACAAAAAGGCGUUAUGGUUUUGGAGUUAGAGCUACUUUUAAUGAUAAUUUUUUUUUUUACAGCAGUUUUUUUACAUAUUAACAGUACAGUGGUUUGUGUUUCAUUAUCCACAACUUGCACCUGUAAUACGCACCAUUUAAACACUUUUCUCUCACUCCUAUCCAGCUGGUUAUACUCAGCACUUCCAACAGUAGUCUGAUUCUUAACACUUAAUAAAAAGUUCUGGAACAGGAUAUUUGGACGACUCAGAACAGGCUCAUGGAUGACAGAAAGUUUCUUUCUGGCAGGAUUCGGAUAUAUUUCAUAAGGCUGAAACGAUUCCUCAUAUUCCUCGAUUACAAAUAAUGAUCGAGGAAUUUUCUCUGCCUCUAGUACUCAUUUAUACGAGCAUUGCAAUCCGCUAACGCACACGCUUGUUCCACGAUUGUUCUCUAUUUCUCUGAGUCUGGACUUCAUUGCAGGGCUAUAGGGAAAUCUAACUUUAUGUGAGUCUGCCGUUUGGGUCCAAUCACUCGAGUAAUCGGUAGAAUAUUCAGUAGAAUACUCGAUUACUAAAAUAAUCGAUAGCUGCAGCUCUAAUAUUUGAGUUGAAAUUUGGCAGUUAAUCUCAGGAAAUUGGUGAUUAUUAAGAUUAUUGCUGGAGUUGAAUAUGAUUUGAUGUCAUUCCAUACCAUGUGUCUAUGUUAAGCUUUGUUACUUCAGCCGCUCCAACUUUCUCUCCGUCCUCCAUCUCCUCACCUGUCUUUCCCUCUUUGUUACUGACUGGAUGGGGUGGAGUCACGUCUCUGACGUAGGACAGCGUCUUAAAGGGACAUGAGACCAUAGUCUACCUACACACAUCCAAAACUAACUUUAAUUUAUAGAUUUAUUUGACACCAAAUAUACCCAUAUGGGCAAAAUGACGUUGGUUAUUGUCGUAAAUUUCGGUAUUGGUAAAUUUUCGGUUUAUGGCCCAGCCCUAAUAAGACUAUUACAGUAAAAUUAACCCCUAUGGGUAAUAUGCUGUGUGAUAUAGAGAAGUUUGAGUUUGAGUUUGAGAGAAUAACAUCAGUUUAUUAUGCAAAUCUGAAUCAGAAUACUUCAUUGAUCCCCAAGGAACGAAUUCUGGGAUUGUGAUCAAAUGAUUGUGCUUUAAAUCUUGCGAGAAAGUGAAAUUCAUGCAUUCAUUUGUUCAUUAGAUGACUUGGUACACACUUAGUACGCCAGCCUGAUACGCUAGCUGUUCUUCAACAAUACUGCACUUAGUAGAAUUAUGUUGUUGUUAACAUUUGCAAAGUAUUGUUCAUUUUUUAAUCGAGAAAAUGCCUGAGUCUGUGAAAUUUUCUCCAUGUCACUAUUUUUAUUUUGCGUCAGUUGUAGUCAGCAUUACUUGGCAAAUUGCACCAUAGAGAGGUUGUUUGUCUUAAAUUGACAAUAUUCCCUUUUUAUAACUGCUAUAUUUAAACAAAGUGACACUGGUAUGGUUGUGGUUCUUGUCAAUAACUUUCCAGACGUGUGUGGAGAGAAAAUCCUCCCAAAAGCAUGUAUGAAGAAACUGAAAAGUGGGAUUCAGCUGACGUGUCUGAACGGCCAAAGGGAGCAAAUUUAGAAUAUGUACUCAGCCUGCCAUGACAGGGAUGUAAUAAAGCUGCACUUCUGUCAUGAUAUAAAAUGUCUUAAUGACAGCAAUUCCUGGAAAAACACACAAGCUGAUAUGUUAAAGGCACACCCCUUUUUCCUGACACAUUUAUAGUUAGCAAAUGAGGAGCGCGGUGGAACAAGUAGUUGCAUGAAGAAUGACAGAUUAGGUUUGAAGACUUUCCUGUGAUCUGCCAAAUUUCAAAUAGAGGCACAUCUGAUGUUAGAUUUGUCUAAACUUGGAAAAUGGGCCAAUCCCAGCAGAAAGAAACAGAUGAAUGUACUCGUCUCUGAACUAUCUAAAGUAAAUUUGUUUAAAAUUUAGAAAAAGUUUAGAAAAAAAACUGGAUAUUUUACUUCUUCUCCUGCUGUCCCAAUAAAAGUCAGGGUGGUAAUUACCCAAACUGAAGGAAGCUUAUUAUGGUAAUCCUCACCUCACAAGCAUCAGGACAGAUUCGACACUCUUCAUAUAUAAUUGCAUCAGCAUCUAUCCUUCCAUGCAGACAUGUCCCAUCACCUCUUUCAGCCUCAGGCACAGUUCAAGGAACAUGGUACCCACUUACAAAACAUGGACAGAAAAACAUGACAUUAAGGGCACACGUCUGUUAGCAUGAAAAGCUUUUGCUGUACAACUGUAGACGGUGAAAUCUCUGCAAGUACCUUCCCCUGUUCACCCUGGACACUAAUAUAGGCCACAGGUACAAGUCUGAAAGCUUUCACUGAAGUCAGCAGAUUAAAACGGCGCAUAAAACGUGUAAAGAGCAAAGAUACAACAAGCCUGUGCCUGCGAAUGAGUCGUAUUUCCUCUCUCCUCCACUGAAGAGCAAGCAGGAGUACCUCAUCAUCUCCAGAGUGUGAGUUUCAAUAAGGCCACACACAAAGUGUGUGAACUGUGACUCACACUCCUCAUCCAGCACGCCAACUACAACCUGACCCUUUAAACCCGUCCAUUCCUGUGUAACUUCUGCUCUGGAACACACAGCCAACUCUCCAUGAACCCAAUUAUGAGCAAGAAAAAUAAUUUUUAGGAAGGGAUGGGCGAUAAAACGAUCAUGAUAUCUAUCAAAAAUUAAUUUCCCUUGAUAUCAAUAUAAAACAUGGUCAAUAUGCUUUUCAAUAGUCAGCAUUCUGCCAUGUUUUGGUCGACCAUGCAAGCCAAUAAAAGGGGCGUUGCUCCAAGUCUGCGCAACAGGGAACAUUUAAGAUUGACAAGUGAUUUUUUAUAUCGUGAUAUAUCUCAAUAUUGACUGAUAUAAAAAAAUAUAUUGUGAUAAACUUUUUCCUACAUUGCCCAGCCCUACGUUUAGAAUGCAUGUCCCUGAUGUAAUGUCAAUGAUGUAUUCAGCAUCUUUACAUUUCAACAAACUAUUUCAACAGACAUGUGCAUCCAACAUCUAAUUGUGCACUCUAAAAUAACGUUACAUUCUAGCUUGUAAUAUCCCUGAGUCAUCACAAGUUCAGAGUAUGGGCUAAUUGUUUAACAGAAACUUCUUUUGGAUUAGAGGCUGUAAACACAAAUAAGGCAAAAGCCCAGACGACCACUAAAAGUGUCAGGAUACAAACAGCCAAAUUAUCUUGGAGCAGAGCUGAACCACGUAUGCAUUUUUAAGUACACAACGGCACUUCUAUGUCGCUUCAUAUGACAGCGGGGGCUGAUUUUAUUUGGAGAAGGUGCAACCAUAAUGAGGCAAAUUUCAGCAACAGAAACAAUAGCUGCAGCAGACAAGAGCCGCAGAAGAUGUCCUGGGUUACAUGAGAUGCUGCUUGAAUGGUCAUAAUAGUUGAGAUAUAAUCAUAAGCUUAAGUGAGCGAAAAACCUUUAAAAUAAUCAGUUUGGACAGAGUUCACCACAAAGUGUCAAAGCAAGGAUCAAAACAGAAGCCAAAAGAGGACACAGUUUGAUUUUCCACAAACUGUCAAAACACAGUGAAAGCUGACACUGACUUCAGACUGUCACAGACAGACGCCACGACACAUCAGAAUAGACUGAGUUCGAGAAGGCGCCAACGUUUGACACUUUAAGAGCAUGUCUUAAGUAGAAUUUCCACCUUAAGGUUGUAUACCUCCACCAGCCAUUAAGGUUGCAGUUUAUGUCUACCCAUUCGUCUCUCUUUGUCUCUGCAGAGUAGGGCUGGGCGAUGAACCGAAAAUUUACAGAUAUCAAAAUUUGCGAUAAUAACCAAUGUCAUUUUGCCCGUAUCGGUAUAUUUGGUGUUAAAUUAAGAAAAGUUGUUUUUUGUGUGUAGGUAGGUUAUGGUGUCAUGUCCCUUUAAGACGCUGUCCUACGUCAGAGACGUGACUCCACCCCAUCCAGUCCGUAACAAAGAGGGAAAGACAGGUGAGGGGAUGGAGGACGGAGAGAAAGUUGGCGCGGCUGAAGUAGACAAAGUUAAUGUGGGAGGGGGUGAGCAGCUUGUGGAGUAGUUAUCGCCCAUUUAUCGUUAUCGAGGUGAACUGAUCAAUAUAUCGUGAUAUUGAUUUGAGGCCAUAUCGCCCAGCCCUACUG